rnacentral:rRNA from 1 species
CAGCAGCCGCCGCGGUAAUACGGAGGGUGCAAGCGUUAUCCGGAUUCACUGGGUUUAAAGGGUGCGUAGGCGGAUCUGUAAGUCAGUGGUGAAAUCUCCAGGCUUAACCUGGAAACUGCCGUUGAUACUAUAGGUCUUGAAUUUUGUGGAGGUUAGCGGAAUAUGUCAUGUAGCGGUGAAAUGCAUAGAUAUGACAUAGAACACCAAUUGCGAAGGCAGCUGGCUACACAACUAUUGACGCUGAGGCACGAAAGCGUGGGGAUCAAACAGGAUUAGAUACCCCCGUAGUCCCUGUCUCUUAUAC